rnacentral:antisense_RNA from 1 species
AGGGCUGCAGGCACUCCUGGGAGCAGGAGGAGGGUGACCUGUCCCGGGCAGACCAGGCUCUCUGGGCUGUGUGGCCCCAGCUCCCUGAGCCCAGAGGGAGGUGAGGGUGAGAAGGCCUGGACCAGGCAGGACGCAGCCCCCAGGGCCCCUGCUGGGAAGAGGUCAGAACCUCCCAAGAACCCAGAAGGCCAGAACACACUAGAGGGUCCCGGCAUCCUGAUGAGUCCACUGUCCCCGUGAUGGUUUUCAAGGAUGGAGAAGGCUCCCUGUUCUCCGCUGGAACCCUGCAGCCGGGCUGAUGAGACCCCAGCGAGACCUGCAGAACAUUACAGCAAAAUGAAGGAAAGCCAGAGGAAGAGGCAGAUGUGCUGGCCUGUAAACAGUCUGAUUUCCAAUGUAAACCAGAUUCAGGCCCACGACAUCAGGUAAACAUCUGCAUCAGAGCCCCCGGCCCCCCACCGCCCGGGAGGCCCCGGGGUCCACACGGCCGACUCUGGGACCCGUCACAGUGACCGCCGAGACAUUUCGUAAUUAGGCAAAAUUGAUCCUUGCAUUCCUUCCCUAAAUCCCAAAUCUCUGCAAUUUUACUUCUUCUCAAAAAUGAAAACAUUUGGCAAUUAGCUGAUCCAAGUGAAAAAGGUAGAGAAUGUGCUCUCAACUGGAAAAUGCCAAUUAAGGAAGCAGCUCUGACUUCCCACCCGCCCUGGCUAAGCUGGGAGCUUAUCUUCCCCGAGAAGAAUCUGCUGGGAUAAGGGGGCUUGGGAAACACCGAGGGCAGGGCUGCCUCCUCAGCUUCCUCUGAGAGCAGAUUAGCCGUGGCCUUGUGCCAGCAGGGCCUGGGUGCCGCACCGGGUGGCAGGGGGUGGCAGAGCUGGGCCCGGCUCCGGCAGUGGGAUUUGGGGUGGUGGGACCCAGUGGGGCACCUGCUUGUGGGCAGCACUGAGGGCGGUGACGUAGGCAGCGAGUGCCGGUGUCUGCCCCUCCAUCUGGCCGGGUUCCCCACCCUGCUCCUGCAGCCCUGGACCUCAGGGCCCAUUUGCAGUGCAAGGCGGCUCUUCG